rnacentral:tRNA from 1 species
AGAAGUUUAGGAUAUGUACAGUCCGGGGGCCUUCAAAGCCCUUAGAAAACAAGCAAGUUUAACUUCUG